CCUACGGGGGGCAGCAGUGGGGAAUAUUGGACAAUGGGCGAAAGCCUGAUCCAGCCAUGCCGCGUGUGUGAAGAAGGCCUUCGGGUUGUAAAGCACUUUCAGUGGGGAAGAAAGCCUUGGGGCUAAUACCCUCGAGGAAGGACAUCACCCACAGAAGAAGCACCGGCUAACUCCGUGCCAGCAGCCGCGGUAAUACGGAGGGUGCGAGCGUUAAUCAGAAUUACUGGGCGUAAAGCGCGCGUAGGCGGUCUGAUAAGCCGGUUGUGAAAGCCCCGGGCUCAACCUGGGAACGGCAUCCGGAACUGUCAGGCUAGAGUGCAGGAGAGGAAGGUAGAAUUCCCGGUGUAGCGGUGAAAUGCGUAGAGAUCGGGAGGAAUACCAGUGGCGAAGGCGGCCUUCUGGACUGACACUGACGCUGAGGUGCGAAAGCGUGGGUAGCAAACAGGAUUAGAUACCCGAGUAGUC
rnacentral:rRNA from 1 species